CGAGCGUUAAUCGGAAUUACUGGGCGUAAAGCGCAUGCAGGUGGUUUGUUAAGUCAGAUGUGAAAGCCCGGGGCUCAACCUCGGAAUUGCAUUUGAAACUGGCAGACUAGAGUACUGUAGAGGGGGUAGAAUUUCAGGUGUAGCGGUGAAAUGCGUAGAGAUCUGAAGGAAUACCGGUGGACGAAGGCGGCCCCCCUGGACAGAUACUGACACUCAGUAUGCGAAAGCGUAGGGGAGCAAACAGGAUUAGACUACCCUGGUAG
rnacentral:rRNA from 1 species